rnacentral:rRNA from 1 species
UAUCAGUCAUGCAUAGCAUAUCAAUAAGCGGAGGAAAAGAAACUAACAAGGAUUCCCUUAGUAACGGCGAGUGAAGCGGGAAGAGCUCAAAUUUGAAAUCUUCAAGGUUUUACCUUGACGAAUUGUAGUUUAAAGAAGUGUUUUCUGUUGAAGUUUUGGUAAAAGUUCUUUGGAAUAGGACAUCAUAGAGGGUGAGAAUCCCGUAUUUGACCAUUACUUUCAGCUUUGUGAUACACUUUCAAAGAGUCGGAUUGUUUGGGAAUGCAGUCCAAAAUGGGUGGUAAAUUUCAUCUAAAGCUAAAUAUUGGCGAGAGACCGAUAGCGAACAAGUACCGUGAGGGAAAGAUGAAAAGAACUUUGAAAAGAGAGUUAAACAGUACGUGAAAUUGUCAAAAGGGAAGCGUUUGACACCAGUGUUGUUUUCUCGAAGAUCAAUUAAAAAGAGUUGGAUUUUGUGUUGUAUUGACUUUAUCAGGCUUUCUUCACUCUUUUCCAGCUUUUUUUAAUGCACUUUUCGUUUAACAAGUCAACAUCAGUUUCUUUUGUUGUAAAAAGGUCAUUGGAAGGUGGCUUUCUCUUCGGAGAAAGUGUUUAUAGCCUUUGACUCAUGCAAUCGGAGAGACUGAGGUCUGCAGCGUAGAUCCUUCGGGGUUAGAUACAUUUGUGCUAAGUUAUAGCUUUUCAUAGACAACUUGUUGACUAUGUUUAGUCUUGUAGCUUACUCGCUUAUGCUAUUUUACCUACGCUUAGGAUGUUGAACUCUAUCACACACAG